rnacentral:lncRNA from 1 species
GCGGACGCCCCAACCCCGUGGCCCCCUCGAACCCCACGUGCUUCCUAAAAACACUUAGAACCGUUCCAAUACCUUUAGUACCACGCUCGGCUCAGGCCCAUCCUCAGCUCAGAGCGCGGUAGCACUGUCCUCCCGCCCAGGAGGUUUAAGGCCUGGCUAAACUCCGCCCCCCACCGCCCUGGCCAAUCAGGAGCCACGUCCUCCGGCGCGCUCCUUUCCCGCCCCGCCUCCCGUCUCCAUGGGAACGAUCUGAGCGUCUACUCCGCGUCCUGGGGCGUCGGUUUCGGUCCCGCCCGGCUGCGGCCGUUGUUUGCUGGGACAGUCCUUGGGCCGGUCUCCGUCCCUGUCCAGAGGCUCCGUACGUGAGGCGGACUCUCGGGAGCACCGAGCCGGGCGCGGAUAAGGGCGAGGACAGCUGUUGCAGGAACGGGGGCAGAAAAGGAGGACCAGGGGCCGAGAAGCCGCUCUGGCUACGAAAUCUCAGACACCGUUGUAAAUGGGUGCUUCACAGCCGCCCGCCCCACGUUAAAACUGAAGAAGAGGUGCAAGGAGGCGGAAGCAGCUUGGGCCUCGGGACCGAGGGUCCUGUGAUCAGCAAGGGAGGACCAGAGAGGCUCAUGCCUCCGUUUUACAGCUCAGCCUUCUCGACCCUCCACCCUUCCCCAAAAAAGGAGCACAAAGGAGCAAGCAGGGGUCACGCCUUUCCUCACAGUCUGACCCGGUUACGUGAGGCAGCCCGAGGUAACCAGAUCCACGUCUACGAAGAGGAGAAAUAGAACCUACCGUGGCGGGUUGUUAAGAAGAUUCGCUAAGUUCAUUCAUUUGAAAAACUCAUCACAGAGCUUGACAAACAGGCCUAACCAUUGGCUGCGAUUAUGUUAUCAUCACAGGGAGCAAGAACCUUGGCCGCCGUCUCGGUUUCCCGAAUACUUACUGGUCUCUAGUUUUAUGUGACUUUUAAGAUCUGUGUGGGCAUUUUUUAUAUUGGCAUUUGUACAUCACUAGGAAUUUGUCCUUUUAUGUAGAGGUUCACAUGUAUUUGCAUAUAGUUCAUAAUACC